rnacentral:rRNA from 1 species
AAAGGGCGCGUAGGCGGCGUUUUAAGUCGGGGGUGAAAGCCUGUGGCUCAACCACAGAAUGGCCUUCGAUACUGGGACGCUUGAGUAUGGUAGAGGUUGGUGGAACUGCGAGUGUAGAGGUGAAAUUCGUAGAUAUUCGCAAGAACACCGGUGGCGAAGGCGGCCAACUGGACCAUUACUGACGCUGAGGCGCGAAAGCGUGGGGAGCAAACAGGAUUAGAUACCCGGGU